AAUAGGAAGAAGAAGAAGAAGGAGAAGGAGAAGGAGAAGAAGGAGAAGAAGAAGAAGAAGAGCCUUGCAAAUGCAUCUCCAGGCAACUCCCAGGGCUGCAGGGCUUCCACCUGUACCUCAGAACAGACAGGCCGAGUACAGCUGAGACCCGAGUGAGGCGUUAGCUGGCAGAAAAACCUGCAUCUCUCUGGCAACUCGACUCUCACCAGUACUUUCCUGAGAGCAAGGCAUUUGCCCGCAGCACAUUCUUCCAGGUACGGUACACACUGAGUGCUGCCUUCCCACCCAUCCCCCUUAUUCUUCCUGAGGUUUACCAUCAUGAUGAGACUUGCUUAACCACAGAUGAUGGCAAUCCUCUGCCCGCUCCCGAGUUGGCCUCUUCUUACCCUCCCAGGAUGCUCUGCGGUGCAACUAGGAAGAAGCCUAGCCUGGGGCCCCACACAUAGACAUCUAUGUGACAGCUGUUUGCUUGCUCACUUGCUUGGAACAACCUGGCCAGGCUUAGAAAGAAAAAGGAAAAUAUACUUUCCAGGUACAGCUCUGGAAGGCAGGGAACCCCAAGGGGCUACCAGGUUCAUCAACCCAGAAGAGUCUGGCAUUCUGUACAUUUGCCUCUUCACAUCAAAGGUUAUGUACAUCAGUGACAUCAUCCUUAGAAGAUGCUUCUAGAACUUGCAAGAUGGUACAGAAAGUAAAGGUACAUGCUGUUGAGCCUGACAAUCUAAGUUCAAUUCAUAGAACCCAAAAUCCUACACACACACACACACACACACACACACACACCACGCACACACACAGCACACACACAGCACAUAUACACACACACAGCACAUACCCCACACACACCACACACACACACACCACACACACACACAGCACAUAUACACACACACAGCACAUAUACACACACACAGCACACACACAGUACAUAUACACACACACAGCACAUACCCCACACACACCACACACACACACACAGCACACCCCACACAUACACACCACACACACACCACACAUUGUUUAAUUAAGAAGAUGCUUUCAACCAUCCUUACAUGUUGAAGCUUCAAUCAUGUCCAUAGGCGUCUCCCCUGUGCUCAAGGGGAGUCACUAGUCUUAAUGUUCCAUUGCUAUGGAGAAACUCCAUGACCAUGGCAACUCUUAUACAAGAAAGCAUUUAAUUAGAGUCGAUUUACAUUCAGAGGUUAAGACCAUUAUCAUCAUGGCGGGAAGCAUGGUGGCACACAGGCAUGUGAGCUAGAAAAGCGUUCUAGAUAUAGAUCAACAGGCAGCAGGAAGAGAGAAAGACACUGGGCCUGGCUUGGACUUCUGAAACCCUAAAUUUCACCCCCAGUGACACACUUCCUCCAACAAGGCCAUACCUCUUAAUUGUGCCACUCCCUGGUGACCAAGCAUUCAAAUCUACGGGAGCCAUUCUUACUCAAAACAGCAGUCUUCUCAGGUUCAGUAUGGACUCUGCCCUAUACUCAAGGGCUAGGAGGACCUUGUCCCAACCAGACUCACCUUACAGGGGUUAUGUCCAGGGUUUGUGUGGGACAGCGAUCCCUGAAGGGCUUUCCGAUCAUGCCUGGUACUGAAGGAGGGCAAAGAGUGGUUUAUCUCUUCAAAGUUGGUUGAUUCCUUCAACUUUAUAGAAUUCUCUUUUAACAUGCAAGGCCGAGUGCUGGCGCUCUAUCAGGCCACAUGCUGCAAUUACUCCAGCAAGUUAGUGCAGCUCCUUCAUUUCAGCACUGGUCUCCAGCUGCCCACGCCUUCCAGAGGAUUCACUGAGGAGGAGACACUGAUGCCCACGUGAUGUCUGGGUAGGCAUAGUCACUUGCCCUGGCCAUAGAUCACCAUCUAUACAUGCAGCUCUAUUAGAGAGGACUCCUGCACUAGUUAACCAUGUCUGUGCACAGCUGAGGGGCCCAUGCCUAUGGUGGGCAGGAAAGCUGUGGCUUUUACAGUGUCUUCCCAGCAUCCUCUCCCUACACCCAGACAUGGCCUUGGAUAUGACCACUCCUAGCUUGCUUAUUUAACCUAUACUUACUGAGAAUGGAUCCAGACCAGAGUGUACCUGGGUAGGCAGUGAGAUAGACUCCUUUUCUAAGUCACUAGGUGAAGUGGGAACUUCCCUACAGACUCCCCACAGAGCCUGGGCAUGUGGGAACUCUUACCACAGAAAAGAUACAUGACAUUGCUUAGUGCCAGAGGUCGAGUUGAUAGUACAGGUUAUAAAGUGUUCCUGGGAAGGCUAUGGUAAACUGCAGGGCUAUAGGUGGUCUAGACAGAGCAGGGACACUGAGUUACUGGGACACUCUGGUGUAGUCAUGGAGACUCCAACUAGUCCUUCUGCUGGCUGUAUGGCCAGGACCUGCCUGCCUUUUUAGAAACUGCCCUCUCUCUCCCAGAUGCAUCUUGACCUCCUCUACUGAGGAACCCGUCUGUAUUUAUUACUUUUCUCAUCACUUUGACAGAAGCUUUAUGGGAGAGGAAGAUUUGCUUUGGACCCAGGUUUAGUUCAUCCGGACAGGACAGGUGUGGUGAUGGGAGCAGCUUGGUCCAUGUGGGUAGGAGCAGGAGGCCACUGCUUGUUCACAUCACAGAAAAUGAAAAGGCUAGAGCUGCAGACCAGAGCCUUCAAAAGGCCAGGCUCUGAUGACCUAUGUCUGUCCCCUACACCCCUCAUCCCCAAAAUAGUGGAAACUUUCUGGGGCCCAGGUGUUCAAACGUGGGAAUCUUUUGGGUGGCUUCAGACCUAAACCAUACACCUUUCCUGAUCUCUGUCACCAAGAACCUUCCUCAGGGCUCCUUGAGGGCAGACACAGAGUGGCCCAACCCAGCCAAAAGGGAGAACAAAGGUGCUGAGCUGCAUGGCUGCCCAGAGAGAGAAGCUGGACCCACCCCCAGCUGCCCACAUUCUAUCCUGGCCUCCCUACCCAUCUCUUCCUGGUUCCCAAACAUGCAGGACGCACCACACAUUCUGCAUCUGACUUCUAAACAAAACGGAAACAAAGGCACUUCCUUAGGAAGGCUCAACGCCCGAUGUUUGUUCUUCUUAUUGGAACCCUGGUGAGCCAUGGGGCACUCGCUGUUUGUGGGCUUAUUAAAAAGAAAUGCAUGGAAGGAAUAAUUGCCUGUUCUGUGGUGAGAAAUUACCGUCUCUGUUUUAUUUAUUGCUGUAUAGGAAACAAACAUAGCAUGUAAUUUAGUGAUUAGAACUUUGCAACUUUCGUUUCGUAUAAUUGCAUGCUUUUAUUCAGUAAAGCUAUUACUUUGAUUUUAAAAAAAUCCUUUCUGACCCCUUUCAGGGUCCUCAGAAGCAGAAGGGUCUCACGUGGAGAUUUUCAGCAAGCCUGAGAGUGAUGACCCUGUCUUUUCACCAGGAAUUGUGGGUGGGAGCUGGCAAGGUACUGGUGGAGGAGGGAUGCUGGAUUUGGCCAGCAAUGGUUAACAAGCAGGGAGGGAAGUGGAGUAGCUUCUGCACAUCAUCCGAAUCCUCAAGGGACAGGAGCUUAUAAAGUGCUAAUGUGGCCACGAAGGGGCUGAUGAACAGAGGCUUGUCCUAGGCUGGCCCUGGGUCAUCAGCUGCCCUUGGCCUGGAGUGUGGACAGUGACCAGCAUCCAUCUUUUACAGUGCUAGCCUGGGCCGUCCCAUGUGUGGCCCAUGACUCCUGUUGCUGCUCCAGGCCCUAGAGUUACUGCCUUACCCCCAUAUCCUGAGUCUGAUGUUCCAUGCAGCCCAGCCCAUCCUCCCCAAACAGGGUGCAACUCUGUGGCGUCCCGUCGCUCAACAGAAGCAUGGCCUCAUUUCCCAUGGUCCUUUAUCACCAAAGCUGGGACAGGCUGUAUUGCAAACAGGGAGAGGUCCUGGUCACUGAAACCUGCUCUAAGGUCACUAUAAGUGGACAGGGACUCUAAACACCUAGCCUCUGGGUGUUCAUAUUCUGUUUUGUGAAUUUGUGUAUUCAAUAUUUAUCCAAAUUCCUGAAAUUUCCCAAAUAUGAAAAUAUAUACCUCAAGACAGAAGAUUAUUGAAGUCCAAUGAACUUUGUCCCCCUGUGCUCUGUUGGGGUCCCCUUUCCUCUAACACCUGCCCCUGGAGGGCAUGAAAGCUAUAGCUAAAGAUGUCACCAUGUCUUUCUGAUCAUCCAGCCUUUCUGUCCUGUCUACGUGACAAUUCACCUCCAAUACGGUCGUUGCAGCUAAAGACUAAACAUCCUUCAAGUCCUACGUUGAGACACCACUGCUCUGACCGCCCACCUGACCUUUCCUGGCCCCAGGAAACAACCUGUGAAUGAGGAGAUAGAUGGAAGAUCCAUGAGCAGGCCACCAGUUCACUAGUCACAGUCCCAUCUAGGGCUCAUGGGACUAAACAGUCAGGGUUCCUUUGUUGUCAAAUGCUGCAUGGAGGUUAGAUGGAUGCUGAGCUGGCCAAUAGGACUUUCUUUUCCCUGCAGACUCAGUCCCAUCUGGGCUGAGUGGAGCCAAUUAACAUCCUGAUAGGGCUCCAAAGCUGCUGAGUUGCUGGGUUCUGUCCUUUACAGGAAUGGAGAAAGCCUGACCCAGGCAUGCAGCUUUCUAGGCCACUGCCUGUGACCUGAGACCCCGAUCCAGAACCUGGGAGGAGUUCCUAUGAGACUGACUUUUGCACCCCACGAGUGACACCACAGCCUGACUCUGAGUCUUUUCAUUUGCCCUCUGUUCUUCUCAACUCUGAGAUUCUCAACCAAGGUUCAUUUGGCUUGCGUUCUGCCUGAGUUAUGUUCUAAACACAUUCUAAGGAAGAGCCGCGUUUAUAGGAACUUGCUGUUCCUUCAUCCAAUAGAUGUUUCUUGGUUUAGGGUGAAAAUUGAAUCAGGAUUCCAAAGCGACUGCACAUGGCCAAGUCCUCUUGUGUUGGGCUGACGGUACCAUGUGCUUCUGGCAGUGCUGGCUUCACUCCUCAUGUUGGCCCAGGUACAGACAUUGUGUAGAGUAUUUCUCUACAGGGUUCUACUUUCCUACUGCCAGUGUCAUUUCAGACACUUCCUUUUCUAGAAAACACUUUGGUCCCAGUACCACAUGGCAUCAGAUGUCUUAGCCCAGGCAAGGAUGACAGAGUGGGCAGCUAAGCACAGUGUGUACACAGGUAGAUCUGUCCUGGUUAAUUUUACGUCAACUUGAUUGUCAACUAGAGUCAUUUGGGAAGAGGAACUCUCCAUGGAGAAAAUGCUUCCAUAAGAUUGUCUAAUAGACAAGUCUGUUGAUAUUUUUCAUAAUGAUUGAUGAGGAAACUCCAACCCAUUCUGGGCAGUGCCACCCCUGGGAAGGUGGUCCUGGAUUGUGUAAGAAAGCAGGAUGAAUGGGAUAUGAGAAGCAAGCCAAGAAGUGUUCCUCCAGGGCUUCUGCUUUAGUUCCUGAUUCUAGGUUCCUGCACUGGGUUCCUGCCUUACAUCCCUCAAGGCUGAACUGUGAUAUGGGAUAUAAACUGAAAUAAACCUUCUCCUCCUCAAGUUGCUUUUGGUCAUGCUGAUUUAUUAACAACAGAAACUGUCUUAACUAUUUCUUCUUUUGCCACUACCAUGGCCAAAAAUCCGACCAAAGCAACUUAAAGAAGAAAUGACCAUCAUGUGGAGGAGCAUGGCAGUAGACAGGCAGGCAUGGUGUUGGAACAGUGGCUGAGGGCUGACAUUGGAUCCACAACCAGGAGGCAGACAAAGAGCUAACUGGCAAUGGUGUAGGUGUUUGGAACCUCAAAGCCCCACCCAGCGACACACCUCCUCCAACAAGGUUCCACAUUCUAACCCUCCCCAAGCAGUUUCACCAACUGAGGACCGAGUAUUCAAAAAGAUUAUUUUAUGGGGCCAUUCACAUUCAAAACACCACAAAAAAAAAACACCCUGACACAUGCACAAACAACACACUUACAUGUACAUAGCACAGAUGUGUAUACCACACACACACACAGGCAUGCAAGUGACUCGCUCACUGAUACACAGACAUAGAAGCAAUGUCCCACACCCCCAUGAUGCAAUAUGCACACCAGGCAGCCUUACACACAGGUUUAUACACAACUCCCACAAACAACUGUGUCUUCCCCCAAUCCCUUUUCAGUGCUCAUCUACCACUAAUCUGUUCUCCAUUUUCCCUACCUUUCUACUUUAAGAAUGACAGGAACAUGGAAUUAUAGCGUGUACAACCUCUUAGAGUUGUCCGUCCUCAGUCAUCAUAAGUUUGGAGGUACAUUAAACUUCCCUGUCAAUUACUUUUCAUUCUUCAUUCAUUCAUUCAUUCGUUCAUUCAUUCAUUCUUGAUGUCAACUAGCCUUAUGGAAAAAGAUAGGUGUGUUGUAGAAAAUAUUUAACCUCAAUCAAGGGUUUCUACCCCACCUUUAAUCAUUCAGUUGCCAGAUUAAAAAAACACAAUGUUUAUUAUUAUAAUAAGCCUUAGUCAGCACUAGAGCCUACCCUCUAUGUUAUUAUGAUCUUUUUCUAUUGAUAUUCCCUAGUUAUUACCCAUUAGUUCCAUCUGGGCUUCUUUCAUUUGCCAGACCUCAUGGCCAUGUAUCCAUAACUCAUCUACCCCAAGAUGGCUUCCUCCUCUCUCUACCUUCUUCUGCUUUCUCCUCUUGGUUCUCCUUAGACCCCAAGCCUGGGAACCCUAAACCCCACCUAUGUCUCUUCUUCCCAGCUAUUGGCUGUCAGCAUCUUUAUUUAACCAAUAGUUUUAAAUUAAGGAGCAAAGUUACAUUGUACACGUGGAUUCUCUCAUCCCUGGGAGCAACCAGGACAGUAUUUAGCAUUACAAUACAUAGAAGAAGACCAACCCUCGAAGUAGAUGAGCUCAGCCUUUCCAGCACUUAUCUCACAAAGAAUGUCUAGUCAGAUCACGUGGCUAAAACUGCUGUAAGCAUCCAAGCACAGUUAGGGGAGUGAGUGCUUCCCAAGAUCAUGACUUCUGUUUUGUGACCCUUUGGUGUAACCAAGACCAUCCGUGUGACCAUUAGAUUGGAACCUCCCCUUGGAGCCUGAUUCUGCUCUUACUUUUUUUCUAGGCUCUUGAAGUGGGAGCUUAGAUUACGGUCAGGACAUCUCCUCUUUUCUAAUGUAAAUAUCUCAGCUAUAAAUGUACACUUGCCCAGCUUUAGAUGUGUCUUCAUCCAAUGAAUUUUGGGGCUCUCAUUGAACCUGGAACUCAGUGGUUCAGCUUGGUGAGCUAACCAAUUAGUGACAUGGAUUCUCCUGUCUCCACCCCCUUGACACUGCUAACACAGGCACACUGCGAUAUUUAGCUUUUUACCUGGAUGCUGGCAAUCAAAACUCAAGUCCCCAUGCUGUGUGGCAAGUACUUUACCCACUGAGCCCUCUCCUCAGCCUUUUCUCCCCUAUUUCUAUUCCCUGAUGGUUUACUAGAGGCGUGAAUAUAUUUAUGAUUGUUUUCUGUUUGCUGAAUAAAUCUUUUAUUUAAUAUAAAGUACUGUUUAUACUAUCUAUAUAUGUCUAGCCUAUCUUUGACCUAAAGUGGGUUUCUUAUAGAAAGCUAUAAGGAACCCAUUCACUUUUAUCUAUUUUUACCAGUCUCUCUUCUCUGAUUCUAUAGUGAAACCCAUCUGUGUUUAAAGCCAUCACUGAUAAGCAGGGUCUUCUUUUCCUCUCUUCGAUAUUUGUUUUCUGUGUGUCUGCUAGCUUUUUCUAUUCCUUGUUUUCUGAAUGUUCUUUUUCAGAAUAGGCUUUUCUCUUUAAUUGAUGUUUUUAUAGUAAAAUAUUUAAAUUCUCUCACUUCUUUAUGUUAUCCCUUACCUGUUCUCUUUCACUUUUCAAUAAUCUAACUCGAAGGAGAUAUCAUUUUAACAGCAAACAAAACUCCCUUCCUUACCAUUGCCCCAGGCCUUUCAGGACCGAGACCUCAAAAUUACAUCUUUAUCCAGUGUCCUGACAAACAUGAUUACGAUUCUGUUAAAUAAUCAGGACCUUCACUUACGUCAAAAACAGAAUCUUGAAUUACAAAGCCAGAUUACAAUACUCGAUUGCUGUUGCCCACGCUUACCUGGCAAAGCUCAGUUUCUCUUAUUUGGUUACAGGUCCCUCCCAGCAUCCCCUCCUGGCCUCAUGUCGACUCCCUAAAGGAUUUCCUUCCUCCAGGUCCCGAGUGACAACUGCCUACCCUAGCUCUUGCUUAUCUGCAAAUAUUAUCACUGAUCCUUUCAUUUAAGGGAAAAAUUUAUUAGACAGAGGAUUCUUUAAGCUGAUUAGAAUUCUGAGUAGCUGCUGGCAACAUCCCUGAGGAUCCCAUGUGGGAGCCACAUCUCUCCUGCUACUUCUAAAAUCUCCUCUGUCUUUUGAGUGUCGCAUUUUAACACCCUUGGGUGCAGAGUCUCUUGGAGUUCAUUUCUCUUGAAAUUUGUUCAGUUUCUUGCAUUUUUACAUUCUUCUCUUUUAUUAAAUUUCGGAGGUUUGAGGGUUUUGUUUUCCUUACAUAUUCUCUGUAAUGGUUUGUAUAUGCUUGACCCAGGGAGUGGCAAGAUUAGGAUGUGUGGCCUUGUUGGAGGAAGUGUGUCACUGUGGGGGUGGGCUUUAAGAGGUCUUCUUCCUAGCUGCCUUGAAGGCAGUCUUCUGUUUGCCUUUGGACCAAGAUGUAGAACUCUCAGCUCCUCCUGCACCAUGGCUACCUGGACGGUACCAUGUUCCUGCCUUGAUGACAAUGGACUGAACCUCUGAACCUGCAAGCCAGCCCCAAUUAAAUGUUGUCUUUAUAAGAGUUGCCUUGGUCAUGGUGUCUGUUCACAGCAGUAAAACCCUAACUAAGACAUUUUCUUUAUCUCCCUCUCUCCUCUCCCUAGGUCUCUCACAAUGUGUACACAGAUUGUUAGAUGGAGUAUUGGGGUCCCCUUGGCUCCAUUCCCUCUUCUCUAACCUUUUUUUUUUGUUUCUGUUCUUCAGACUCAGUACUCUGUUGUCCUGCUCCUGUUCAGAUCUGUCUUUGAUUCUCCCUAGUGGGUUUUCAUUCCUCACUGGUUGUUUGCCGCUUUGAUUUUUUUUAAGUUUAUUUUCUUUUUAUGGACAGUUCCUGUGUUGUGCAGCUUCCCCCCACUUUGGAAAUCAACUUGAUGGAGGAAAGAUGUAUACUGGCUCACUUGGUCACUAUGUUCUAACAUUUCUGAGCCUGGGUGAGAUCUCAUCAUGGUGAGAAGGACAGGACAGAGCAAAGGUGAUCCCCCUCAUGUCAGCCAGGAAGCAGAGAGACAGUGAGAACCAGAAGAGGGACAUGGACCAAAAUAUCCCUGAGAGCCUGCUCCCCAUACCUAUUGCCCUUGAAUGAGCCUUCUUCCCAAAGAUUUCACAACUUCCCAAUAGCCCAUUAAAGUUGUGAGUCCAUUAGUGGUUUCUACUUUGUGUAGCUUUUGAGGUAGUCUCAUGUAGCCUGCCUGGCCUUGAACUCCCUGUGUCUCCAGGAUGACAUUGAACUCCUCUUUCUCCUGCUGAGAUUACAGGUAUGGACCACCACACCCAGUUUUAUGUGGGAAGGUACCCAGGGCUUCCUGCAUGCUAGGUAAACACUGUGAACUAAGGUGCAUCUCCAGCCCUGUGAUUCUGUUAUCAGGUUAAUCCACUGAUAACGGUGGGAACCCUCAGGAUCCAAUCACCUUGCAAAGCCCCUACCUUUGAACAGUGCUAAAUCGAUUGGGGAGCAAAUUCUUAGCAUACAGCUCCCAGAAGGCAUUUAAAAUCCAGAUCACAACCGUUCUUGAGGUCUUCCUCUGUGUUCUUGGCUUUCUCUGUGUUUCCCUUUGGUCCUAUGAGCAUCUUCAAGCCUUGUUUUCAAGGCCUUUGCCAGGUUUACCUGCCAUCCGUCUUUUUCAGGAACAGCAGCUGCUGGCAUUUUUCUUCAGUCGCACUACACGGCACGCUUGUUUGGAUUUUUAUGUUGGACAUGACGUUUAAAUAGCACCUCUGGCUAUGAGAAUCUCUCUUCUACCCUGGGUUUUGCAAGGGUUUUUUUUGUUUUGUUUCUAAUUGCUGUAGGCUGCGCCUGCCAAGGACCAGCCUGAUAUGUCAACCUAAUGCCUCCUGGGUCUUUCUUUUAUCUUCCCUUCAGCAUGUUCCUCUCUUUCUAAUUCUUCUCAUGUAUGGGCCGAGUGCUGAGAUGCCACCAACCGUACACCAGGGUGCUUCAGAGCAGCUUCCUCAGGCUGGACUGGGGGCCAAGGAAAAGUAGUCAGCUUCAAGAUGUGCUGAUUCAGUGGUAACAAAUGAGGAAGAGGAAAUGGGCUCCAAACAAUGGUUUCCAAGGCCUUGGUGGCCUGAGUAUCCUCCCCAGACUCCCCAUAGAGAUAGGCUCAGGUAGAGACUGUUGCUUACAAGCUGAGAGCCAGGGGACAGGCAAACCGGUCUCUGUUGGCCCGAACGCUGUUCCACUGUGUACUGGUUUGAGGCUCCUGAGCUCAUGCAGGUAUAGGGUGUGUCAUCUGUACUUCCUGUUGAGAGCUUUUGCAGCCACUUCUAGGAAUUUGACAUUUGUCACUGGGCUCAGACAAGGAAGCAGGCUCAAUAAGAAUAUUAGAAACAGUGACCGUGGGGCUUUGUUUACUGCUUCGCUUAAUUACUACCUGUGUAAUCCCCUGGCUUACAACUUAAUUAUUACCUUUGCGAUCCUUUCCCUCACUAUUCUGCUUAAUUACUAUCUCCUGUGAUCUCCUUGUUUACUACUGUGCUUGAUUACUUUGUCUUUGAUCUAAGAACUGACCGUGUAUUUUGGAUGCACCUAGAAUGAUACAAAAGCAGACUGGGAAAAAUAAAGCUGCUUCAGCCUCA